GCUUCGGCCAGCCCACCCUGGGUCCCUCUGAGCUGUGAGUGUCUUGGCUGUGCCCCACAGUUGGCCACAGCUCUGCACCCAGCAUUUUGAACAGUUCCUGCAGAGCCCUGAGGCGGAGGCAGGGCCUGCAUGAACAGAAGCUUCUGGAGCAGAAGAUGCUGCUUCUGUCCCUUGACUGUGAUCUUGAGACCCUAUCUAGCUCAGGUCUGGGCAUGGGGCUUGAGCACCUUGGUGCUGGGACACAGGCCCACUUCCCAGCUGGGCUGGCAGAGGCUGCAUUAACUGAACCCUCCCCUACUCCUAUGUCCCCACCCCCAUAGGAGGCUUCCCCUCUGAAAACCAUUUGGCAAUUUCUAAUAAAUACACGCUUAUGCAUAUCAAGCAAACCCUACUCCUGGGUUUUUAUCCAAAUGGAAUGAAAACUUAUGUUCAAACAAAAAUUUGAAUGCAAAUAUUUAUACUGGUUUUAUUCACCACUGGCAAGAAGCAGAAACAUCUGGUUUGACCCACCACACACACAUAUGCACACACGUGGAAACAACCCAAUUGUCAUUCAACUGGUGAAUGGCUAAACAAAGUGUCAUACCUUCAUAAAUGGAAUCAGGCUCGGCAAUAAUAGGGGAACAAACUAUUGAUCCAUAAGGCAACUGGGAUGAAUUGCAACAUUGUUACACUGAACUCAGGAAGCCAGGCUCAGAAGGUUACAUACUUAGACUCCUAGUCAGCAUUAAAAAGGAAAAAACUACGUUGCAAUUGAGCCACCUGGAGGAACACCCAGAAAACUAUGCUGAGUGGGAGAAAGCCAGUCCCCAGAGGUCACAUACUGUAUGAUUCCAUGUGCAGAACAUUCUUGAAAUAACAAAAUUAUACAAGUGGAGACCAAAUUAGUAGUUGCCAGGGGCUAAGGAGGGGUUUGGGACAGUGGGAAGUGAGUGUUCCUGUGAAAGGGCAACAUGAGGGAUGUUUGGGAGGGAAGCAUUCCCUUCUUGCUGUAUCAAUGUCAGUAUCCUGGCUCUGAUCCAUUACUGUAGCUGCAAGGUCCUACCCUUGAGGGAACUGGCCAGAGUACCUAGGAUUCCUCUGUAUUAUUCCUCACAGCUGCAUGAGAAGCUACAAUAAUCUCAAAAUAAAAAGUUUAAUUUAAAAAACGGUCACAUUGAGAGAUGACAGCGUGCUGGCAGCCCUCGCUCACUCUCGGCACCUCCUUGGCCUUGGCGCCCACUCUGACCACGCUUGAGGAACCCUUCAGCCCACUGCUGCACUGUGUGAGCCCCUCUCUGGGCUGGCCGAGGCUGGAACUGACUCCCUCUGCUUGCGGGGAGGUGUGGAGGGAGAGGCGCGGGCGGGAACCAGAGCUGCUCGCGGUGCUCACAGGCCAGCAUGCGUUCUGGGUGGGCGUGGGCUCAGUGGGUCCGACACUCAGAGUGGCAGUGAGGGGCUUAGCACCCAGGCCAGCACCUGUGGAGGGUGCACUGGGUCCCACAGCACUGCCGGCCCAUCCACACCACACUCAAAUUCUUGCCAGGCCUCAGCCACCUCCCCACAGGGCAGGGCUCGGGACCUGCAGCCCACCAUGCCCAAGGCAUGCUCCCCAGCACUGUGGGCUCCCUCACGGCCCAAGCUUCCCCGACAGGCGACGCCCCCUGCUCUGCGGUGCCCAGUCCCAUCGACUGCCCAAGGGCUGAGGGGUGCAUGCACACGCACAGGACUGGCGGGCAGCUCCGCCCGUGUGGCCCUGGUGUGGGAUCCACGAGGUGAAGCCAGCUGGACUCCUGAAUCUGGUGGGGGCUUGGAGAACUUUUAUAUGUCUACCCAGAGGAUGGUAUAUGCACCAAUCAGCAUUCUGUGUCUAGCUCGGGGUUCGUGGAUGCACCAAUCAGCACACUGUAUCUAGCUAAUCUGGUGGGGACUUGGAGAACUUUUCUGUCUAGCUAAAGGAUUGUAAAUGCACGGAUCAGUGCUCUAUGUCUAGCUCAAGUUUGUAAACGCACCAAUCAGCACCCUGUGUCUAGCUCAAGGUUUGUAAAAGCACUAAUCCGUGCUGUGUCUAGCUCAUCUAGUGGAGACUUGGAGAACUUUUGUGUCUAGCUAAAGGUUUAUAAAUGCACCAAUCAGCACCCUGUCAAAAUGGACCAAUCUGCUACUCUUUGGCUCCACACUGCCUUUAUGAGCUGUAACACUCACUGCAAAGGUCCGCAGCUUCAUUCCUGAAGCCAGCGAGACCACAAACCCACCAGAAGGAAGAAACUCCGAACACGUCCAAACAUCAGAAGGAACAAACUCUGGACACACCAUCUUUAAGAACACUCACCACAGAGGUCCGCGGCUUCAUUCUUGAAGUCAGUGAGACCAAGAACCCACCAAUUUCAGACACAACAUCCUUUACGUUUGCAUUUCUGUGAUAUUCUGUAAAAAUCAACAGUAUAGGGUCAGAAAGAGACCAGUGGUUGCCAUGGUUGGGGUACAGAAAGGGUUUGAAUGUAAAAGGAACGUAAGGGCUGAGAGCAGGGGCUCACCCCUGUAAUCCCAGCACUGUGGGAGGCUGAGGCAGGUGGGUCACCCCUGUAAUCCCAGCACUGUGGGAGGCUGAGAGCAGCGGCUCACCCCUGUAAUCCCAGCACUGUGGGAGGCUGAGGCAGGUGGGUCACCCCUGUAAUCCCAGCACUGUGGGAGGCUGAGAGCAGCGGCUCACCCCUGUAAUCCCAGCACUGUGGGAGGCUGAGAGCAGCGGCUCACCCCUGUAAUCCCAGCACUGUGGGAGGCUGAGAGCAGGGGCUCACCCCUGUAAUCCCAGCACUGUGGGAGGCUGAGAGCAGGGGCUCACCCCUGUAAUCCCAGCACUGUGGGAGGCUGAGGCAGCAGCUCACCCCUGUAAUCCCAGCACUGUGGGAGGCUGAGAGCAGGGGCUCACCCCUGUAAUCCCAGCACUGUGGGAGGCUGAGGCAGGUGGGUCACCCCUGUAAUCCCAGCACUGUGGGAGGCUGAGAGCAGCGGCUCACCCCUGUAAUCCCAGCACUGUGGGAGGCUGAGGCAGGUGGGUCACCCCUGUAAUCCCAGCACUGUGGGAGGCUGAGAGCAGCGGCUCACCCCUGUAAUCCCAGCACUGUGGGAGGCUGAGAGCAGGGGCUCACCCCAGUAAUCCCAGCACUGUGGGAGGCUGAGAGCAGGGGCUCACCCCUGUAAUCCCAGCACUGUGGGAGGCUGAGGCAGAUGGGUCACUUGGGGCCAGGAAUUUGAGACCAGCCUGGCCAACAUGGCGAAACCCUGUCUCUACUAAAAAUACAAAAAUUACCCGGGUGUGGUGACCACACUUGUAAUUCCAGCUACUUGAGAGGCUGAGGCAAGAGAAUCACUUGAAUCCAGGAGGUGGAGUUUGCAGUGAGCCGAGAUUGCACCUCUGCACACCAGCCUGGGUGACAGAGUGAGACUGUGUUUCUAAAAAAGGGGUGCUUAGAGAAAUUUGGGGGUGGUGGUGGAAAUAUUCUGUAUUUCAAUUGUGAUAGUUACAUGAGUCAAUAAUUUUUAGAAAAUUAUACUAGGUUUUAUUAGCUUCACCAAAAAGAGUAAACUUUACUGUAAAUAAAAAUAGAAAUGUUUGAAAUGUUUAAAUGUUUUAAAAUGUUUAUUAUGGGAGGUGGAGCCAAGAUGGCUGAAUAGGAACAGCUCCAGUCUACAGCUCCCAGCGUGAGUGGCGCAGAAGACAAAUGAUUUCUGCAUUUCCAACUGAGGUACCGGGUUCAUCUCACUGGGGAUUGUCGGACAGCAGGUGCAGCGCACCGAGCGUGAGCCGAAGCAGGGCGAGGCAUCGCCUCACCCAGGAAGUGCAUGGGGUCAGGGAAUUCCCUUUCCUAGCCAAGGAAAGGGAUGACAGAUGGCACCUGGAAAAUCGGGUGACUCUCACCCUAAUACUGCACUUUUCCAAAGGUCUUAGCAAAUGGCACACCAGGAGACUGUAUCCCGCACCUUGCUUGGAGGGUCCUACGCCCACGAAGCCUCGCUCAUUGCUAGCACAGCAGUCUGAGAUCAAACUGCAAGGUGGCAGUGAGGCUAGGGGAGGGGCGCCCGCCAUUGCCGAGUCUUCAGUAGGUAAACAAAGCAGCCAGGAAGCUCGAACUGGGUGGAGUCCACCGCAGCUCAAGGAGGCCCACCUGCCUCUGUGGACUCCACCUCUGGGGGCAAGGUAUAGCCAAACAAAAGGCAGCAGAAACCUCUGCAGACUUAAUUGUCCCUGUCUGACAGCUUUGAAGAGAGUAGUGGUUCUCCCAGCAUGCAGCUGGAGAUCUGAGAAUGGACAGACUGCCUCCUCAAGUGGGUCCCUGACCCCCGAGUAGCCCAACUGGGAGGCACCCCCCAGUAGGGGCAGACUGACACCUCAAACGGCUGGGUACUCCUCUGAGACAAAACUUCCAGAGGAACGAUCAGGCAGCAACAUUUGCUGUUCACCAAUAUCCGCUUUCUGCAGCCCCCACUGCUGAUACCCAGGCAAACAGGUUCUGGAGUGGACCUCCAGCAAACUCCAACAGACCUGCAGCUGAGGGUCCUGACUGUUAGAAGGAAAACUAACAAAACAGAAAGGACAUCCACAGCAAAACCCCAUCUGUACGUCACCAUCAUCAAAGACCAAAGAUAGAUAAAACCACAAAGAUGGGGAAAAAACGGAGCAGAAAAACUGAAAAGUCUAAAAAUCAGAGUGCCUCUCCUGCUCCAAAGGAAUGCAGCUCCUCACCAGCAAUGGAACAAAGCUGGAUGGAGAAUGACGAGUUGAGAGAAGAAGGCUUCAGAUGAUCAAACUACUCGGAGCUAAAGGAGGAAGUUCGAACCCAUGGCAAAGAAGUUAAAAACCUUGAAAAAAGAUUAGAUGAAUGGCUAACUAGAAUAACCAAUGCAGAGAAGUCCUUAAAGGACCUGAUGGAGCUGAAAACCACAGCACGAGAACUACGUGACGAAUGCACAAGCCUCAGUAGCCAAUUCGAUCAACUGGAACAAAGGGUAUCAGUGAUGGAAGAUCAAAUGAAUGAAAUGAAGCGAGAAGAGAAGUUUAGAGAAAAAAGAAUAAAAAGAAAUGAACAAAGCCUCCAAGAAAUUUGGGACUAUGUGAAAAGACCAAAUCUACGUCUGAUUGGUGUACCUGAAAGUGAUGGGGAGAAUGGAACCAAGUUGGAAAACACUCUGUAGGAUAUUAUCCAGGAGAACUUCCCCAAUCUAGCAAGGCAAGCCAACAUUCAGAUUCAGGAAAUACAGAGAACGCCACAAAGAUACUCCUCGAGAAGAGCAACUCCAAGACACAUAAUUGUCAGAUUCACCAAAGUUGAAAUGAAGGAAAAAAUGUUAAGGGCAGCCAGAGAGAAAGGUCGGGUUACCCGCAAAGGGAAGCCCAUCAGACUAACAGCUGAUCUCUCAGCAGAAAUUCUACAAGCCAGAAGAGAGUGGGGGCCAAUAUUCAACAUUCUUAAAGAAAAGAAUUUUCAAUCCAGAAUUUCAUAUCCAGCCAAAUUAAGCUUCAUAAGUGAAGGAGAAAUAAAAUCCUUCACUGACAAGCAAGUGCUGAGAGAUUUUGUCACCACCAGGCCUGCCCUAAAAGAGCUCCUGAAGGAAGCACUAAACAUGGAAAGGAACAACUGGUACCAGCUACUGCAAAAACAUGUCAAAUUGUAAAGACUAUCGAGGCUAGGAAGAAACUGCAUCAACUAACGAGCAAAAUAACCAGCUAACAUCAUAAUGACAGGAUCAAAUUCAC
rnacentral:lncRNA from 1 species